rnacentral:rRNA from 1 species
AUUGAACGCUGGCGGCACGCCUAACACAUGCAAGUCGAGCGGCAGCGAGACUAGUAGCAAUACUAGUUGUCGGCGAGCGGCGGACGGGUGAGUAACACGUAGGAAUCUGCCCUUAAGCGGGGGAUAACCAAGGGAAACUUUGGCUAAUACCGCAUAAUCUCGAGAGAGCAAAGCUGCCCGCAAGGGUGGCACUUGAGGAGGAGCCUGCGUCCGAUUAGCUAGUGGGUGGGGUAAUGGCCUACCAAGGCGAUGAUCGGUAACUGGUCUGAGACGACGACCAGGCACACUGGGACUGAGACACGGCCCAGACUCCUACGGGAGGCAGCAGUGAGGAAUAUUGGACAAUGGGGGCAACCCUGAUCCAGCGAUGCCGCGUGAGUGAAGAAGGCCUUCGGGUCGUAAAGCUCUUUAGGUUGGGAAGAAGGUUAUUGGCUGAAUAAUCCAGUACUUUGACGGUACCGACAGAAUAAGCACCGGCAAACUCUGUGCCAGCCGCCGCAGUAACAC